AAAAAGCUGAUUUGUAACAUGAUGGCUUUUUAAAGCAGUGUUAAAUCCCUGCCAUUUGGUGUUCAGGAGGUAAAGCAGCUGAGCAGACUCAAGUCUUGAGAGUGCAUAGGUAUAAGCUAGUGCCAUCAGAUUGUCAGAGGAAGGUUGUCCUGUUCCUGUGUUCUUCACAGAAGGGUCUGUGGCACUCUGAUCUAUUCCAAUUUCAGUGAAGUAUACUUCUGCUUUUCUCUUCUAUUUUUUUAUGAGAAAAAAA